GGGGUUGGUCAAACUUAGUGUGUUCUGGGGAGAACAAUCAGAAUAUGGACAUUGCACUCGUUUUCGUUGGGAGCAAGAUGCAAUCAUCAGAUAUCUCGAAAACUAAACAUGUCGAUCCAGCUUUGUUAGAAUUGCUCAAGAUUUCCUUCACAAGCUCCAAUCACUCUAUGGCAUUCCCCUAUGUUGCCCCAUCAGACGAAAAGGGUACGCUGGAAAAUUCGCUGGUUUCGGG
rnacentral:misc_RNA from 1 species